UUUCGACGUACUAAAACUAAAGACUGAACUAAGCAUGUAGAGCCGUAGGCAGCGGACUGGCGGACGCGGGUUCAAUUCCCGCCGCCUCCACCA
rnacentral:tmRNA from 1 species